rfam:Picea glauca, whole genome shotgun sequence.
ACAUGCUUACAACAUAGCGUUAAUGCAAGGGAUCCCAUUAGAACUCUGAAGUUAAGUGUUCUCAUGCUAAAGUAGUAUUGGGAUGGGUGACUACCCAGGAAGUCUUAGUAUUUUACAUGCC